AUUGAACGCUGGCGGCAGGCCUAACACAUGCAAGUCGAACGAGUGGCGGACGGGUGAGUAAUGUCUGGGAAACUGCCCGAUGGAGGGGGGUAACUACUGGAAACGGUAGAUAAUACCGCAUACCAUCGGAUGAGCCAAGAUGGGCUUAGCUUGUAGUUUAGGUAACGGCUCACCUAGGCGACGAUCCCUAGCUGGUCUGAGAGGAUGACCAGCCACACUUGAACUUGGACACGGUCCAGACUCCUACGGGAGGCAGCAGUGGGGAAUAUUGCACAAUUGGCGCAAGCCUGAUGCAUCCAUGCCGCGUGUAUGAAGAAGGCCUUCGGGUUGUAAAGUACUUUCAGCGGGGAGGCGUUACCCGCAGAAGAAGCACCGGCUAACUCCGUGCCAGCAGCCGCGGUAAUAC
rnacentral:rRNA from 1 species